UACGGGGGGAGCAAGCGUUGUUCGGAUUUACUGGGCGUAAAGGGCGCGUAGGCGGCGUGACAAGUCACUUGUGAAAUCUCCGGGCUUAACCCGGAGCGGCCAAGUGAUACUGUCGUGCUAGAGUGCGGGAAGGGGCUACUGGAAUUCUCGGUGUAGCGGUGAAAUGCGUAGAUAUCGAGAGGAACACCUGCGGCGAAGGCGGGUAGCUGGGCCGACACUGACGCUGGAGGCGCGAAAGCCAGGGGAGCGAACGGGG
rnacentral:rRNA from 1 species